ACUCCUACGGGAGGCAGCAGUGGGAAUAUUGCACAAUGGGGAAGCCAUCGAUGCAGCCAUGCCGCGCUGUGUGAAGAAGGCCAAUUCGGGCUUGGUUAAAGACACUUUUCAGCGAGGAGGAAAGGGUGUGUGUUAAUACCAUACAUCUGUGACGUUACUCGCAGAAGAAGCACCGGCUAACUCUGUGCCAGCAGCCGCGGUAAUACAGAGGGUGCGAGCGUUAAUCGGAUUUACUGGGCGUAAAGCGUGCGUAGGCGGCCAUUUAAGUCAAAUGUGAAAU
rnacentral:rRNA from 1 species